rnacentral:rRNA from 1 species
AUUGAACGCUGGCGGCAUGCCUUACACAUGCAAGUCGAACGGCAGCACGGGUGCUUGCACCUGGUGGCGAGUGGCGAACGGGUGAGUAAUACAUCGGAACAUGUCCUGUAGUGGGGGAUAGCCCGGCGAAAGCCGGAUUAAUACCGCAUACGAUCUACGGAUGAAAGCGGGGGACCUUCGGGCCUCGCGCUAUAGGGUUGGCCGAUGGCUGAUUAGCUAGUUGGUGGGGUAAAGGCCUACCAAGGCGACGAUCAGUAGCUGGUCUGAGAGGACGACCAGCCACACUGGGACUGAGACACGGCCCAGACUCCUACGGGAGGCAGCAGUGGGGAAUUUUGGACAAUGGGCGAAAGCCUGAUCCAGCAAUGCCGCGUGUGUGAAGAAGGCCUUCGGGUUGUAAAGCACUUUUGUCCGGAAAGAAAUCCUUGGCUCUAAUACAGUCGGGGGAUGACGGUACCGGAAGAAUAAGCACCGGCUAACUACGUGCCAGCAGCCGCGGUAAUACGUAGGGUGCGAGCGUUAAUCGGAAUUACUGGGCGUAAAGCGUGCGCAGGCGGUUUGCUAAGACCGAUGUGAAAUCCCCGGGCUCAACCUGGGAACUGCAUUGGUGACUGGCAGGCUAGAGUAUGGCAGAGGGGGGUAGAAUUCCACGUGUAGCAGUGAAAUGCGUAGAGAUGUGGAGGAAUACCGAUGGCGAAGGCAGCCCCCUGGGCCAAUACUGACGCUCAUGCACGAAAGCGUGGGGAGCAAACAGGAUUAGAUACCCUGGUAGUCCACGCCCUAAACGAUGUCAACUAGUUGUUGGGGAUUCAUUUCCUUAGUAACGUAGCUAACGCGUGAAGUUGACCGCCUGGGGAGUACGGUCGCAAGAUUAAAACUCAAAGGAAUUGACGGGGACCCGCACAAGCAGUGGAUGAUGUGGAUUAAUUCGAUGCAACGCGAAAAACCUUACCUACCCUUGACAUGGUCGGAAUCCCGCUGAGAGGUGGGAGUGCUCGAAAGAGAACCGGCGCACAGGUGCUGCAUGGCUGUCGUCAGCUCGUGUCGUGAGAUGUUGGGUUAAGUCCCGCAACGAGCGCAACCCUUGUCCUUAGUUGCUACGCAAGAGCACUCUAAGGAGACUGCCGGUGACAAACCGGAGGAAGGUGGGGAUGACGUCAAGUCCUCAUGGCCCUUAUGGGUAGGGCUUCACACGUCAUACAAUGGUCGGAACAGAGGGUUGCCAACCCGCGAGGGGGAGCUAAUCCCAGAAAACCGAUCGUAGUCCGGAUUGCACUCUGCAACUCGAGUGCAUGAAGCUGGAAUCGCUAGUAAUCGCGGAUCAGCACGCCGCGGUGAAUACGUUCCCGGGCCU